rnacentral:lncRNA from 10 species
ACACGCGAGAAGGGCGGGACCGGGUCCAGAGGCAGGAGCAAGGACAGACCCAAAAGGAGAAGCCAAAGGAGUCUUGCUCUGUCGCGCAGGCUGGAGUGCAAUGGCACGAUCUCGGCUCACUGCAACCUCUACCUGUCAGGUUCAAGUGAUUCGCCUGCCUCAGCCUCCCGAGUAGCUGGGAUUACAGGCACCUGCCACCACGCCCCACUAAUUUUUGUAUUUUUAGUAGAGGAGGGGCUUCGCUAUGUUGGCCAGGCUGGUCUUGAAUGCCUGACCUCAGGUGAUCCACCCACCUCAGCCUCCCAAAGUGCUGGGAUUACAGGCGUAAGCCACUGUGCCCAGCCUAAAAUGACUUAUUUAAUUAAUUAUUUUUAGAGACAGGGUCUCACUCUGUCACCCAGGCUGAAAUGCAGUGGUGCGUCAUGGCUCACUGCAUCCUCAACCUCCCAGGCUCAAGCAAUCAUCCUACCUUAGUCUCCCAAGUGGUUGGGAGACUAAAAAAAAAAAAAAAAAAGGAAGGAGUGUAGCCUACUUGAGCCUCUGGGAGUACAGCCCAGCAGACACCUUGAUUUCAGACUCUGGCCUCCAGGAUGGUGAGAGAAGAAACGAUUGUCUUUUGUUCAUUUGUUUUUGAGAGAGGGUCACAGCUUACUGCCAUCUUGACCUCCCUGGGCUCAGGUGAUCCUCCCACCUCUGCCUCCCGAGUAGCUGGGAGUACAGGUGUGCACCACCACACCAGGUCAUUUUUGUAUUUUUUUGUAGAGAUGGAGUUUUGCCAUGUUGCCCGGGCUGGUCUUGAACUCCUGAGCUCAAGCAGUCCUCCCGUCUUGGCCUCACAAAGUGCUGGGAUUACAGGUGUCAGCCACCAUGCCCGGCCCAUUUCUAUUGUUUUAAGCCAUCAAGUUUGGGUGGCAUCAUUUGUCAC